GAAGACUCCAUUUUUCAGUUUUUGGAUACAACGUUUAACGCUUUGUCUUAUUUAAAAAAAUUUAUAAUUAGUAUUUUUUUUGGUUAGAUGAUAAAAACAUGAAUAGUACUUUAUGCGUGACUAUUUUUUUCUCGUAAAUCUUUCAAAUAAAAUGGACGGUCGAAUGUUGGACGCAGAAACCCAAAAAUGAAGUCUUU
rfam:Oryza sativa Japonica Group DNA, chromosome 2, cultivar: Nipponbare, complete sequence.